UUCCCAUACAAAAAUAAACAUCACAAAACAUUUCACAUUUCCACUGUUGCAGUCUGAAAAUUUGUCAUUUCAAAAUACAAAAGGGAUUGUUUAAAAUCCCCAAUAUACUUGAUCAAAUUAAUGUUCUCAGAUGAAGAGGCAAUUUUUUAGUGUGGCUGAUGGCAAAACCAUUUUUGUGGGUUUUAAUCAGAGCAAGAAUUAAGGAUUAAGAAGGUAGUGUACUCUCUUACUUUAUAGCAAACUUCUGCAAUAAUCUCUGCUGGAAGCUUGAACUAACAAGUCAUUGAUGUACAAUUUGAUUUCCCAUCUGUUUAUACUACAGAGCCAUGGAAUUUGUUCAGGAAUAAAAGAAAGUGAACACACUGCUGUGUAUGAUCUUAUAAUGGAGCCUGCAACAACUGUACAUAUCUUCUGACAAGCUGUGCCCAGUAAAUGUGAAUGAAAAGUGAAACCUCCACAAAACAAACAACUGAUUUUAAGGCUCGUGGUUCUUUUUGCUGCUUACAAAGACUCAAGAAAAUGAUGAAGCUGCUCACAGUGAAAGAGAAGUCCUUGUUUAAAUCAGGGUAUGUCAGUGUGGUCCCUUUAUGAAUUUAUUAAAUACUUGCAAUUGAAUUUCUGCACUAUUUCCCUGAUUGAAGGAGAACUAGAGGGUGUGUUUGUGGCUGAUUGCAAUUCCUGAUUGAUAGAGACAACGACAGAUUGCUAUUAAUAUCAACUCAUGUCUUUUUAAGGAAAUAUGCCUGACAGAUACUGACUGUUCCUAUCAAGAGAAUGUCUUGUUUAUUGUAAGAUUCAUUGCGUUGAAACUUGCUCUUUGAAAAAUAUGAUGUAAUUUGUAUACUUGCAUUAUCUUCUUAUAAGCUCUUCCAAAAACUAUACAAUGUUUUCUUUAAUAUGAGGGCAGCUGUGAAAGUAAGACCUCCUAUUUAAUUAUGUUGGUAACAUCGGAGGCAAAUGUUGGUGAUAUUGCUUAGGAGUUGAACCAUUCCACCACCAUUCCCCUACAUUUUGCUGCCAUGUGACAGGUGGCAGAAGGACAGCCUGAUCAAAUGGCAUAUGACUUGGGAGCAUGGAUGAAGCAAAGGGGUAGAAUUGAAUUCCUCCAUGCAGAAAAAUUGGAACCCAGUGACAUUCAUUGAUGCUUGCUGAACAUUUAUGGAGAUCAAACAGUGGAUGAGACCACAGUGCAGUGACACCUGGUGCAUUUCAGCAAUAGUGACACGGAUGGUAGGUCAUUUCUGCUAGUUCAAAUUUUUAUGAACAUAACAUGCAGGCUCUUGUUCACUGCUGGUCAAAAUGCAUUGCUAAUGGUGGUGGCUUUGUUGAAAAAUAGUGUUUUGUAGCUGAGAAUUUGCUCUAUCAAAUAGUGUUAUUGUGUCCUAUGUAUCUGCUGUAAAUAGGAAUAAAUAGGAGGCAUUACUUUCGGAGCAACCUUUGUACAAUAGAGAAGACAAUUUGAGAGAUGAUAGAAAAGACCGGUAUGAGGGAUGCAUGUUUCGACUAUAAUGUAACUAUGCUUUAAACAAAAUCACAAUGGUUAGAUGUAGAAGUAUCCUAGCCUCUCCUGUUUAAAACAGCAAGAAUAUUGACUCGUACUGUAGACUCAGAUGUUUUUCUGUCUAGAAGAUUCUGAUUAUUUAAUAAAUGCUACGUAGGAAAGGGGAGAAAACAAAGUAUUUUAUGAGAUGUUAGUGUGAAGCCUGUAUAUGUUGCUUACAUGUGAUUAUAUGCAUUUAAAAUAUUCAGAGAAAUCAGGAGUUUUUGUCCUCCUUCAGCUCUUCAUCUCAACUCCAGAAAGAAAACCAACAAUGAGAUAAUUCAUAGAUAGGAGAUUACUCAGUCAACAUUAGCAAGUCAUGUUAAAUUCAUUUGUCUGUGUUUUUGAGCGACUGGAGUUCAUGUCUCCAGUUUUAUUUCUACAGCUACUAAGCUAAAAACCGAUAUACAACUGAGAUGCUUAUGUAUUUUACUCCCAAAUUAAUUUCUAGCUACAGUAAAAAUGAUGAAAAUCUCAAUAAAACUUCAGAAAUAUGAGUGACUCCACACAGAUUUGAAGAAAGACUCUGAGUUUUCAGCCCCUUGUUUCAGGCCUGUAUUUACUCUGAGUGGAGAAGAGGAGGAACAGGCCAGGCAGUUCUCUGGAGCCAGGUGCCCAGUGUGUGUUGGGGCCAUCCAACAUGUUCAGCUUUACCUCAGGAUUGGAGAUGUUCUCAUCUCUCAUCAAUGGAGAGUGCAUGAAGUAAGCUGGACACCUGUAUGGUUGCAGACGCAUGUUGAUCUCAUGCAUGCUGCAAUUAGAAUUUUUGGUAGAGAAGUGUCACAGUGAAGGCAGAUGAGGAGGAGAGUUCUUACCCUUCCAAAGCAGUUUCAGUAGGGUGGUGUAUUUUCAAAACCAGUAAAGGACAGAUAGAGAUUGGUAAAAAUAUUGAUGUAUUCUUAUUGCACACAAAAAUGCUUACAGUUUGUGGAGUAAAUGUUGAGAAAGAUUAAGAAAAAUCUCAUGAAUCCCUAAAAAUGAGAAAGGCUUUAUGUGACAAAGCAUAACAGAAAGAGGCAGAACCACUGCCAAAUAUCCACACAAGAAAAUAGCCUCAUUUGAAUAUGUCAGUUUGUAUUUGUGAAUGUGGGAUGUACAUGUUCUUAUAAGAAAUGUAGAUAAGAGGUGAUAAAAUGUCCAGAACAAGAUCAGGCCAUCUGGACCCUGGUGUCCAGUGCCAGCAUUUAAUUCUGUGAGUGGCUUACUGGCUCAGAUUGGAGGACCUGUUUAAAGAGUGCUGGACAUCCAGUGAAAGAGCAUUCAUUUUUGUUUCGCUUGCAGGUAUAAAGGCUCAAGGGAGACACAUUUCUCUGCUGUAUCUUCCAGGAAAGGUUUUGCUAGAGCAAAAAACCGGAGUGUAUAAGUCAGAUAUGUUUCUUCCUCACGCUUUUCUUUCUCACUGGCUCAAGUGAUGUUGAGAGGAAUAGUUUGUAGCCUUUUAUUUUCGGGUGCCUGGAGUACUUCUCAGAAGUUUUAGAACAACAUAAGUAGUAAUAGUUUGUUAGGAAACCAUUUAAGAACUAGAGAUCUAGUUCUCAAGUGACUACUUGAAUGUUACUACAUAACUGCCUACAAAGAUCUUCCUAAAAACAGUCAGUUUAUUCUGACAGAAACUUCCAAAUUCAAACUAAACUUCAGGAAGUUUCAUGUGAUAUGCAAAUAGGUUGUAGUAGUACAGAGUGAUUAACCUUGGUCGCUGCCUAUUUGCCUGAGUAAAUUCCAGUAAGAGUGUUUUAGCUUGUAUCAUCUUUGGAUUUGUGCAAAGGACUGGAGCUGGUGAGUGUUUGAAGUCAAUUAUGAGUUACCCAGUUUUAUCCUGAUGACAGUCAGAAGGAAAAAUGUAUAGACUGAGCUACUUCACAGUCAAGAUAGGUAUAUAAUGACUCUAUGUUUCCAUAGUAUUAUUUUUGUGUUUGGUGUUUUUUGUUUGUUUUUCCUACAUACUCUCUUUCCUUUCAAAUUUUCAGUAUAAAUUGAAUUGCUACCAUUCAUGCUUUUAAUUGGCCAUCAAGACUCAAGGCUGUCUUGCCCCUUCAGUCAUGCUGCAAGAAUUACAUGACCUUUGCUAUUUCUAAAGACUAAUUAAGCACAUAUGAAGGAUGUAUAUGCAUAAAUGCUGAAACAAGUGCUUCUUGAUCGGCUCUAAUUUGAUUUAAUUUAAUAGAGAGGGAAUGAUAUUUCAGACAGAUUUCAAAAUCAAUUUUGAAACAUUGAGAACUAGUGAGUUUAAACCCACCUUUUUUUCUUUUUAUAAGAAGAGGAGAUCUUCUAAGAGAUGACCCACAAGAUGGCAAUAAAAGGUGGUGGCAGCAGAGCAAAAUUACAGUGAAAUAUUUUGAUUUUUCAUUAUAAAUAAUAUGAGAUAGUAGAGUAGUAAGCUAAAUCAGAAGGUCCUGAUAAAUCUUCUAGAUCACUUAGGGCUCUGAGUUCAUUUAUCUUUGGUACAUUUUUUGUUGAACAUAGUAUCUGUUUCCUGUUAAAUACCUGUCUAGAAACACUUGGGUAAAAGCCAGAUGGGUUAAGCCACACCAUUUUCUUUCCGGGAAAACAAAAUAAAACAAAGCAAAAUGAUGAAGAGAAAAGAAGU